GUUAUUUUCAGUUUGUUUUAUGUUGUCCAUCUUCCCAAGCUACAAAGUUCAAGAGCUAUAGUUUGUGUAGUAAUCACUGCUGUAAAAACACUGAAGACUGUUUGAUAGGAAGAAGACAAACCAACCUCCAUGUCAAAAUGCAGGUGAUGCAAGCAGCCCAUACCAAAGAGCUCCACAAUCAAAUCUGAACUAGCGUUAUCCAAAUAGUCAGGAUCUAGAACUUCAUUUGGAUUUGGAGUGCCCAUCUAGCGAUUGAAUGGAACAGCUGCUGAGGAACAGUUUAUCUCUUUGUGUGGUCAAAGGAAUACUUUCUUCACUAUGCCUUGCUACAGAUUAAAAUUACUGAACGAUCUGGCUUGUCUUCAAGAGAAAAAAAACACUGGAUCAUGAUGAUACUGAAUUCUGGAAUUUUCUGCAAUUAGAUUUAGAUAGUAAUGGAUUACCACUAUUCUAUGGAGGCGAACAGCUGCAAUGGUCUCAAUCCUGAGAGAUACAUUUAACAGUUCUGACAUGAAGGAAAACCUUCCUGGAGGGCACUAAAACCAUCUAGAACAAUGGGGGGAACCUUUAUUUCUUUCGCAAGGCCUGAUUAUAUAGAACAUUCCUGAAUGUGGAACAUAUUAAAGCUAAUGAGCAUGUCAGAACACCUGAUUAUUCUUUUGAGGAGCCUUUGGAAUAAAUAAGAAUUUCCUGCAAUAACUGAGUUUGAAGAUUCUAAAUAGGAAAAGGGUCUUUGUUUGCAGAACUGGAGAAAGGCUUUUCCUCACCUCCCUUCUUUUCACUCCUGGUUUCACUUGGAUGGAAGGGAUUCUUCCACUGUAAAGGGGGAAAUCUGAGGCUACGAAGUGACUUGCCACAGACUGAAUCCAGGAAGAAAAAGGACUGCAAAUUCAGAUUUUCUGGAUUCUGGCUCCACAACUUUGUUGCCUGA
rnacentral:lncRNA from 1 species